rnacentral:lncRNA from 1 species
CUAAAAAUGCAAUUAUUUGUUUACAUAUAAAAAUCAUUUUAUUGUUUCCUUAUUUCUCCAAAACUCAUUACAAUAUGUAUGUAAUGUCUCUUAUAAUAAAGUAAACACAUACAAUAUUUGUUGAUUUUAUGGUCUAGUAACUUGUAUUAGUGUUAUUACCAAAUUAUGACAGCAAUGUUCUUUGGGCUCAUUAAAAAAAAAAACAUAAACAAUUUUAUGAAAGGUACAAUAAAUAUAACGUAAAAUGUGGUAAAAUUUAUAUACAUUUUAAAUAUUUGAUUUUACUAUCACAAUAAAUUAAUUUAUAACACACAGUAAAAAUUAUAAUCUUACUUUUUUCCAUAACCUUGUUUUAAUAGAAGAAAAUAUAUGCUUAGUUUAGUUAAUUAUUAUCAAAUAAGUAAAAUAAAUGAAGGGUUUCAAAAAUGGCUUUGCGUGAUAGAGCCGUUAAACAUGUACAACGGUUAGAAAGCAAUCUGCGCCGUCUAUAAAUUCAGAAACUCCAAAAUCUAUCUUCAUUCUUCUUCACCUUCCCCAAGUUCAAAUUCAUCUCCGAGGAAACAAAUCAAACAAUCAUAACGUUUCUUUCGAAUACAAGAGAGAUGAAAGCAGAAGCAGAAACAGAGUCUUCCACAACGUUUCUUCUCCUCUGAGGUAAGUCUUUGGUAAAGCUUUGAUUUUUCUUUAUGGGUUCCCAAAUUUGAUUGUGAAUACAGAACACGAGAAAGAGAGAUCGUACCAGAAACAGAGUCAAAUCUCUCAACGUUUCUUUCUUGUGCGGUAAGUCUUUCGUAAAGCUUUGAUUUUUCUUUAUGGGUUUUGGAAUCGAUUGUUAAUAAAUUAGGAAUCUGAUUCAAUGGCUCUUCGUUUUAGGGUUCUUUAAAAGAUGAUUUUUUUUAUAGGAUCAGAACAUGAUCUUUUUAAGACAUAGACAAGCUUUGCAUAAUCAAAACAGAGCUUUUCAAAAGCUCUGUUUUGUUGUCAGGUCUUGUUUUAGACAUUCUAUACUAAAGAUCGAAUCUAUUUGCAUAAUCAAACAACUUUGAUUUUUCCCAAAUCGAUCGUCGUAUUUGGGUUGGUAGAAUUUGAUCUUUGUAUUAGGGUUUUAUAGGAUCAGAACAUGAUCUUUAGAUAUAGACGAGUCUUGUUUGUGUUGUAUGAAUUACUAGUUUGGUUCAAAAUUUCUUAUGAUUUAAGCCUAGACAAGGUUACCCAUGAUCGGCUCGGUUCCUAGCUCUGUUUUGUUGUCAGGUAAUGUUUUCAGACAUUAUAUACUAAAGAUUGAAUCUUUUUGCAUAAUCAAACAACUUUAGUGUCUUGAUCUUCACUUCAAACAUUGGUCCAUUACUGUGGGAAGCAACAGCUAUAGUGAUGCAAAAAUGCUUCCACCUUCUCAGAAUCACUUCUGUUUUACAAGCUUUGAUCACUUCUGAUCUAAUGUGUUUGUCUGACUAGACAAGAUAGAGGAAGGUGGUUUUGUUGGGUUUCUUGGAGAGUGUAGCAUUAUAACCCUUUUUCUAGAUCUGAUCUAGUAUCUCACUCUAGUCUAGCUCCUACUAGAUGACUCUCUUCUUACUCAUUACAAGUUUCUGUUUUGAAACCCUCUCUUCAUAACAUCUUUUAAGGUGUUAAGAAGAUAACUUUUAUAGAAUCCAAAGAUGAUUCUUGGAUCUGUUAAAGCUUAGAUGAGCCUUUGGUGCUCAUCUAUGAUUUGCUUUAUCUGUAGUUAAUAUAUUUUGCUUUGUUUAACAUGUCUUUGUCUUCACUGCUUGUCUUUGUUCAUCUAUGUUUGCGUUUUUAUGAUUUGUUUGUUGUCCAAGACUUUAAAGCUGAUCUUGAGUUGCUUUGUCUGUAGUUAAUAUGUUUUGUAUUUGUCUAACAUGUCUUUGUCUUCACUGCUUGUUGAGCUUGAGUUUAAGCCUUCUAGGUUUUGCUGUAACUAUACCCUAAGCCAAACGAGUAUCUUUACUUGAGACUGACUUACAAGUUACAACAAUGUUAUAUAUGUUAAUCCUAUUGUCUCCAAACUAGUUGGGGACAAUUGUAUUUAGAUUUACAGUUUCAUUUUCUGCUAAAAGAAAACAAAAAAAGAGAUUCAUAGAACAAAAUGAAUCCAAGAAGGCAAUUUUUUACAGCGACAUUCACAAAGAAAGGUCUUCUAGUUUUUCCUCUUGAGUACAAUUCUGGAGAGCUCCUGAUAGACUAACUUCAUGUCUGGCCUUUCUGGUGCUGGUGAGAUACAGCUCAGAGGCACUCCUUGAGCUCUGCGACUCAAUAAUGGAUGGAUCAAAACACUCAGCCGCACGGUUUUGUCCCACAAGCAGUAGAACCCAUUCUGUGAGUUCAACAACCCCUGGAUCACUGCAAACUAUAUAUCUCCUGACACUUCUCCUGUUAGAAGCUCUAACAAAAUGACCCCAAAAGGAAAACACAUCGCUUUUCAGAGAAGGGUAUGGUUUACUCAGCUGGCAAACUCUAGAGGGCAGUAGCCAAGAGCGGCUGCAUUCAAGACUUGCUCUGAUGUGGCUUCUGGUGUCAUUAACCGGUGAAGACUGUAAUAUGUUAGGUAGGCAGUGAGUUCAGGAGGUUUCAGGAGAAUAUUAGUUGAUUUUAAAUUCCCAUGUGGAAUUGCUUCCUCGUUGUGUAUGUCAAGAGUAAUUUUAAGACGUUUAUCCACCAACAAUGGUGGUAGGCAUUAACAGUCCAGCCUCUGCAGACAACAAAGAAUGAGUAAAUCAUCUUUGCCAUGUACACUUGACAGCAAUGUACUUGGGGAUCAUUUCCAGGAGACUUUCUUUCAUAUUAUCUAAUCAGAAUCUACCACCUAAUGAAAGCUAACAAAAACAAAUAAAAUAAAAUUUUGAAUAUCAUCUAUAUUAAAAACACUAAUAGUAUACCACUGAAUUUUUAUUUUACAAGGUUUUAUGUUGGAUGUUGACAAAAAUAAAAAGGUUAGGGCAUAUGCAACGACGUUCUUUGUCGCCGUCCCACCCAUUUUAAAAAAAAAAAAAUCAAAAAAGAAAGAAAUGAAGGACGUUUCCAAAAUCGCUACGGUCAUGCGCUUCUUUCUUCAUUAUUCGCGGGCUCAACUGACACGUGGCGGCGCGCGAUUGGUGAUUUUUUUUUCUGUUUUAAUGAAAAUUAAAAAAAAUUUAGGAGACGAAUUAAACCGAUGCACAUGGUCUUAUAUGUCAGUUUUAAGUUUGUUAAGAGCUUCAUAGAGUAUAAAUUUACAAAUUAAACGAUUUUACAUACAUCGAUAGUCGACUAACCUUGCUAAGAGAACACUUACAUUAUCAUCUAAAGUAGUAAUGAUAUAUUUCAUAAUUGAUAUGACAAAAUGAAAAGAUAUACCCAUUGUAUCUCUCCAUUCUCUAUUAUUCCCCCACCUCUACGUUACAAUACACAUUGAUUCAAAUAUACACAAACCAACACUUUGAUAUAUAUACAAUGAGAAAAUACUAUACGUACAUGCAUGUAGAGUAAAGAGGUAGACGAUGACUAAGCAUAUUAGAGCUAUAAGAGUGAUUUUGUUAUGAUGAUUCUUGUUUUAUAUAAUAGAUAGGUUACUACACGUUCUUCUUUUUGGUAUCUAGUGUCUUAAGAAACGUAGCGUUACUCUCGUUAACUCCAAUAAAUUUUACUAAUUUUGGAAUCGUUAUGAGUUUAAUAAUCUUCUUCCAUUCAAAUUCUUAAAAUUUCCUAAUUUAGUAAAUACUGUUUAUAGCUUUUCAAUAUCAUCCAUCAUAAGUAGACUUGAAAAUAUGCGAAAAAGAAAACAAAAAAAAAUACCAAAACACAUUUUGUUUUUCCUCAUCAUGGCCAAAACUAUUGUCAUCAAACACAUAACUUUCCUCUUGUCAUUGUUAUUAGUAUUUGAGCUUAUUGCGUUUCCGGUCGUAAAUGCGAUGCUUGCUAAAGACGUGCAAGCAUUUUGCAAAGGGACAAGUGAUGUCAACUUUUGCUUGAAAUAUAUUGGAUCGGACAAACGUAUAUCAGCCGCACGCGAUCUAAACGACGUGCUUUUAAUCGCGGUAACAAUGUGGAUGGUUACAAAAAAAUACUUAAAAUGUUCAUUCUAUAUUUAGAAUUGUGAAAAGUUAAUUAAAUUUUGAGUAAAAUGUUGAUUAGAUAUGCUUUUAAUCGCGGUAACAAUGUGGAUGGUUACAAAAAAUACUCAAAAUGUUCAUUCUAUAUUUAGAAUAGUGAAAAGUUAAUUAAAUUUUGAGUAAAAUGUUGAUUAGAUAUAUAAGAAACAUGCUUCAUUCUUGUUUUCUGAUAUAGAGAGUUCGUUGUUAUCAGUUUUCUCAGUGUAAAACUCAAGUGACCAACGCAGCCAAACAUAUCAGCAAAGUCCGAAAUCGAUUUAGUGGUCCGAUUGGGAAAGAACGGAUCAAAAUUUGCGAAAGAAACUACGGAUUAGCGUCAGGUUUGUUCCAAGAAGCUUAUGAAACUGGACAACAAAAAGUGCUUGCAUACAGAGCUCACUUAGCUGCACAAGGUGGUGUGGAAUAUGUGCGCCAGUGUGAAGAUGAAUGGAAAAAGAAUGGUCCAAUACAAAAGUCUCCUGUCACUUUUUAUAACACAAAUGUUGUUAAAUUAUUUUCUAUAAUUCGUCUUAUUGUCACCAAGCAUAAGACUUAAUUUGUAGAAACGCAAAAUUCGAUUUAGUUAAAGCUUGGUUUAGUUUUACUCAGUUGCUCACAUCUUUGAUAAACUAGGUAUUUAUCGGUUUCUGAUUAUAAUAUUGAUUCUUUUGUAAUAUUUAUUGGUUUAAUGCAUAUAAUUUUCUUGAAUUGUUUUGAUAAAUAAGGAUUAAAAACGAGUUAAACAUUUGAUUUUAAGUUUUAUACAAAUAAUGUGAUUUUAAAUAUAAAGUGAUAAACAAUUAAAAUAACAAAGUCAAAUUACAUUAGAAACAAUUUUGGUUUACAAAAGGGCCUUCUAAGGUGCACGUAGUAAAAAGUCUAUUUAACUUGUUUGAAGUUGGUGUGUUAAAUUGUUAUCUCCAACGAGAAACAUGAGUGAUUCUUGUCGAUUAAAAGUGAUCUUAUGAUGAAAUGAAAGAGCAGAGAAGAUCGUCACUUUAUCUUUUGAAACAGCAAAGAGGAACGCACACAAGAUUUGUUAACCCAGUUUACUGCUUUAACGAGCUGCCACGUUCCGUUUGGAUUAAUAGAUCCACAACUCCACUAUGAAAAAGAUGGUGGGCAUGUUCAUUUGCCUAUCGAUAGCUAGAUUCACUUUUUGUUUAAUAUACUCUCAUAUAAAUAUGUAUUAUAUGAAUUUUACUGGCUAUAGAUAUAUUAGGAAAUAGUUUUGUCAAAAAGAACGAGUCUCAUGCUUUGACAGUCUCAGAUAAUUAAGCAAACUAAAUCGCAAUUAAAGGAGAUCGAUAGCUUAAAAUAGAUAUGUUAUAGUGUGAUAUAUUUUAAACUUCUUAUAUAUAGAUGCUCUUUUUUCCUUUCUUUUCAUUUUCAAAUAAACAAUCAAUUUUUGAAGAAGAAAAAAAAAGUAUUUAUUUAUAUCGUCAAUAAUGAAAAAAUCAUUCUCAUUUACCAUUCUAAUUCUUCUCGUCAUUUCUGUGCUAGAUUUGUAUUUUGAUUUAUAAUCAUUGUUUUUUUCUUUUUUGAACAAAUUUAUAAUCAUUGUUAUAUGUUAUCAUUUAAUUGGUCAUUUUAAAUACAAUAUUAUUAGUUUUACAUAUCAUUUAAAUAUUUUUUAUAUCAUUUGUUUCAUAAUUAAUUUUCACUAUUUAUUUUCAUAAUUAAUUUUCAGUAAUUUUUCCUGUGCUAGAUGCAAUUUCACUAUUUUCACUAUUUUAAAAAAUACAUUUGAUAUCUGUUAUAAAUUUUUUAAUCGCUUUAAAAACUAUAUAUCUUUUUCAAUUUUUUUGUUUAAAACUAAUGUUUCAUGGUUUAUGUAUAAUAGUAACAGGAUUAGAAAAAACACCCAGGAGCCCAACAGAUGGUUGGUGCGCUACUCAGCUACCUGACCAAAAACCCGGUAAAUGUAACCAAGACCGAUGUAACAUUAGGUGUAAGAACACUCGUCAGUUUCAAGUUAAAGGACAAGCGACAGUUGGUACUUGCACAUCUAGUAAUAGAUGUUUAUGCACUUGGCGUUGCAGAUAGCUAAUAAUGAAUGAAAUUAUUUGUUUACAAAUAAAAAUCAUUUUGUUGUUUCCUUAUUUCUCCAAAACUCAUUACAAUAUAUUUAAUGUCUCUUAUAAUAAAGUAAACACAUAUAGUAUUUGUUGAUUUUAUGGUCUAGUGACUUGUAUUAGUGUUAUGUAUUACCAAAUUAUGACAGCAAUGUACUUGGGGCUCAUUUCUAGGAGACUUCCUUUCAUUUUAUCUAAUCAGAAUCUACCACCUAAUGAAAGC